UUUCGAACAGCACCAUUCGAAAAAUGCCAUCGAUAUUUUUGUUGAAUUUUUAAUCUAGUCAGUGGAGUAAGAAAGUUGUUUUUGGAUUUUCUGUGUAGUUUUUAAUUGAGCGAAACCGAUAAAAAAAAAAACGUAGAUAAAUGAGGAAAGUUUAUGGAAAAAACAGAUUUAUUAUAUUCAACUUUGGUUUUUUUUUUGUGUUGUAUUGUGUUAUUCAUAGAGAAUAGAAAGUGCACA